rnacentral:rRNA from 1 species
GGGUGCGAUCAUACCAGCGUUAAUGCACCGGAUCCCAUCAGAAAUCCGCAGUUAAGCGCGCUUGGGCUAGAGUAGUACUGGGAUGGGUGACCUCCCGAGAAGUCCUAGUGUUGCACCCU